UAAGGUGACUAUUGCAUUGGGGCUCACCUCUUCCCAUCUCGAACAGAGAAGUUAAGCCCAAUAGCGCAGAUGGUACUGCCACUGGUGGAAGAGUAUGUCGUCGCCUUCU
rnacentral:rRNA from 1 species